rnacentral:rRNA from 1 species
AAUUUUGGACAGGGGGGGAAACCCUGAUCCAGCAAUGCCGCGUGCAUGAUGAAGGCCUUCGGUAUGUAAACUGCUUUCGUACGGAACGAAAAGUCUUGGGCUAAUACCCUGGAAUCAUGCCGGUACCGUAGGUAUAAGCACCGGCUAACCACAUGCCAGGUGCCGCGGUAAUACGUAGGGUGCAAGCGUUAAUCGGAAUUACUGGGCGUAAAGCGUGCGCAGGCGGUUUUGUAAGACAGUGGUGAAAUCCCCGGGCUCAACCUGGGAACUGCCAUUGUGACUGCAAGGCUGGAGUGCGGCAGAGGGGGAUGGAAUUCCGCGUGUAGCAGUGAAAUGCGUAGAUAUGCGGAGGAACACCGAUGGCGAAGGCAAUCCCCUGGGCCUGCACUGACGCUCAUGCACGAAAGCGUGGGGAGCAAACAGG